rfam:Drosophila grimshawi strain TSC#15287-2541.00 scaffold_15245 genomic scaffold, whole genome shotgun sequence.
GCGAGAUGGCUUUUGGUGACUAUCCCGCUGAGUAUAAUCCCAAGGUGCACGGACCUUACGAUCCAGCACGCUACUAUGGCAAAGGUAUGUGCAAUUUGCA